rnacentral:rRNA from 1 species
GUGGGGAAUUUUGGACAAUGGGCGCAAGCCUGAUCCAGCAAUGCCGCGUGCAGGAAGAAGGCCUUCGGGUUGUAAACUGCUUUUGUACGGAACGAAAAGGCUCUGGUUAAUACCUGGGGCUCAUGACGGUACCGUAAGAAUAAGCACCGGCUAACUACGUGCCAGCAGCCGCGGUAAUACGUAGGGUGCAAGCGUUAAUCGGAAUUACUGGGCGUAAAGCGUGCGCAGGCGGUUUUGUAAGACAGACGUGAAAUCCCCGGGCUCAACCUGGGAAUGGCGUUUGGGACUGCAAAGCUGGAGUGCGGCAGAGGGGGAUGGAAUUCCGCGUGUAGCAGUGAAAUGCGUAGAUAUGCGGAGGAACACCGAUGGCGAAGGCAAUCCCCUGGGCCUGCACUGACGCUCAUGCACGAAAGCGUGGGGAGCAAACAGGAUUAGAUACCCUGGUAGUCC